AGAGUUGAUCUGGCUCAGGAUGAACGCUAGCUACAGGCUUAACACAUGCAAGUCGAGGGGCAGCAUGACGGAAGCUUGCUUCUGUUGAUGGCGACCGGCGCACGGGUGAGUAACGCGUAUCCAACCUGGCCCUUAGUAGGGGAUAGCCCGGCGAAAGUCGGAUUAAUACCCUAUGUUUUCCAAUGAGGACAUCUGAGCUGGAACAAAGGUUUACCGCUAAGGGAUGGGGAUGCGUCUGAUUAGGUAGUAGGCGGGGUAACGGCCCACCUAGCCGACGAUCAGUAGGGGUUCUGAGAGGAAGGUCCCCCACAUUGGUACUGAGACACGGACCAAACUCCUACGGGAGGCAGCAGUGAGGAAUAUUGGUCAAUGGACGAGAGUCUGAACCAGCCAAGUAGCGUGCAGGAAUGACUGCCCUAUGGGUUGUAAACUGCUUUUAUGCGGGAAUAAAGUGAGGCACGUGUGCCUUUUUGUAUGUACCGCAUGAAUAAGGACCGGCUAAUUCCGUGCCAGCCGCUGC
rnacentral:rRNA from 1 species